GAUGAACGCUAGCGGGAGGCCUAACACAUGCAAGCCGAGCGGUAUUGUCUCUUCGGAAAUGAGAGAGCGGCGUACGGGUGCGGAACACGUGUGCAACCUGCCUUUAUCUGGGGGAUAGCCUUUCGAAAGGAAGAUUAAUACUCCAUAAUAUAUUGAACGGCAUCGUUUAAUAUUGAAAGCUCCGGCGGAUAGAGAUGGGCACGCGCAAGAUUAGCUAGUUGGUGAGGUAACGGCUCACCAAGGCAAUGAUCUUUAGGGGGCCUGAGAGGUGAUCCCCACACUGGUACUGAGACACGGACCAGACUCCUACGGGAGCAGCAGUGAGGAAUAUUGGGUCAAAUGGGUGCAAGCCUGAACCAGCCAUCCCGCGUGAAGGACGACUGCCCUAUGGGUUGUAAACUUCUUUUGUAUAGGGAUAAACCUUUCCACGUGUGGAAAGCUGAAGGUACUAUACGAAUAAGCACCGGCUAACUCCGUGCCAGCAGCCGCGGUAAU
rnacentral:rRNA from 1 species